rnacentral:lncRNA from 1 species
GUCUUCUCCUGACUAAUAUCCAUCAGUCAGUGGUGCUAUUUCGCAAAACAGGUUAUCCAUCAUGAAUUCAUGAUAAUGUUCUUCAUGGAACAUGGAAAUGAAAGUUAAUCGACAUCAUUCCACGGCAAAAGUAUCUAUGACAAUUGGGAGCAUCAUUUCACAGGAAACAUGAAAGCCGAAGUUUAAUCAUCUUUUUCUUUAUUAUUUUAUUUUUCCAUUAUGUUUAUCGUAAACCUUGUUGGGAUAUGGAGUAAGGGUAGUUGAUAAUUUAAACAACUAUUUGCUUAUGAGAGUAAAUUUGUAUAGGUCAAAAUUCUCUUGUUCGGUGUGAAUUUGAAUAUGUAUUGUUUACAUUAAUUAUAUAAAUAGAGAACUUGAAUAUGUAUUCUACAGUAAAUACC